rnacentral:tRNA from 1 species
GGUCAGGUAGCUCAGUUGGUAGAGCAACGGACUGAAAAUCCGUGUGUCGGCGGUUCGAUCCCGCCCCUGACCA